UACGUAGGGUGCAAGCGUUGUCCGGAAUUAUUGGGCGUAAAGGGCUCGUAGGCGGUCCAUCGCGUCGGGAGUGAAAAGCUGGGGCUUAACCCCAGUCCUGCUUCCGAUACGGGUGGACUAGAGGUAGGCAGGGGAGAACGGAAUUCCUGGUGUAGCGGUGAAAUGCGUAGAGAUCCGGAGGAACACCGAAGGCGAAGGCAGUGUCCUGGGGAGUACCUGACGCUCAGGUGCGAAAGCCAGGGGAGCGAACGGG
rnacentral:rRNA from 1 species